rnacentral:rRNA from 1 species
UACGUAGGUGGCGAGCGUUGUCCGGAUUUACUGGGCGUAAAGGGCGUGCAGGCGGUUUGUUAAGUGCAGGGUGAAAGCUCCCGGCUCAACUGGGAGAGGUCCUUGCAUACUGGCGAACUCGAGGGAGGCAGAGGAAAGUGGAAUUCCCGGUGUAGUGGUGAUAUGCGUAGAUAUCGGGAGGAACACCUGUGGCGAAGGCGGCCCCCUGGUUGGAUACUGACGCUGAUACGCGAAAGCGUGGGGAGCAAACAGG